rnacentral:ncRNA from 1 species
CCCACUGAGUUUAAGCAUAUGAAUAAGCAGAGGAAAAAAAACUUACAGGGUUUUCCUUAGUAACGGCGAUCAAACUGGGAAUAGUCCAGCCUUAGAAUCGGGUGACUCCACGUCCAAAUUGUAGUCUGGAGAAUUGUCUUCAGAGGCGGACCGGGCCUAAGUCCCCUGGAAGGGGGCGCUAGAUAGGGUGAGAGCCCGAUUGUGCCCGGACCCUGUCACACCACGAGGCACUAUCUAUGAGUUGGGUUGUUUUGGAAUACAGACUAAAUCGGAUGAUGAAUUCCAUCGAAGGCUAAAUACGAGUGAGAGACCGAUAGCAAACAAGUACUACGAGGGAAAGAUAAAAAGUACUUUGAAAAGAGAGUCAAAUAGUGCUUUAAAUUAUUGGAAGGGAAGCAUAUGGGGGCCGGUGAUGCACCUCGAUCAGAUGUGGAACAGCGAUGAGCUGGUCCACCGAUCGAAUCGGGGCGUAGACCAGCGUGGAUUGAAGGGCGGCCAAAUCCCAGGCUCUUGAUAUACUCUCGAUAUGAAACACGA